rfam:Ailuropoda melanoleuca scaffold2028_48, whole genome shotgun sequence.
AUGUGUGCAGUGCCCUGCCCCGGAUGGUGCUCAUUACAUGGCCUAAGAGUGAUUAGCAUCCCCCUGGGCAGAGUAAUGUUCACUAA